rnacentral:rRNA from 1 species
UACGAAGGUUGCAAGCGUUACUCGGAAUUACUAGGCGUAAAGGGCAGGUAGGUGGUUUGGUAAGUCUAUUGUGAAAGCUCCCGGCUUAACUGGGAGAGGCCAAUGGAUACUACCAGGCUUGAGUGUAGGAGAGGUUACUGGAAUUCCCGGAGUAGCGGUGAAAUGCGCAGAUAUCGGGAGGAACACCAAUGGCGAAAGCAGGUAACUGGACUACUACUGACACUAAACUGCGAAAGCUAGGGGAGCAAACAGG